rnacentral:lncRNA from 1 species
AAAAGUUUUUCAGCAUUUAAUCUUUGAUACUCUUUUUUAUUAUGACAAAAAUAUAUACAUAGGCUCUUUACAGGUAUUUUUGUCCAGUUGAUAUUUUCAUGUUUAUCUUUGCAGUUUUUUUGCUUCCCAAGCCAAACACCCUCAGUUUUAGCUCUGUUUAAUUUCAACCCUGACAAUGUUCCAAAUGUUUCAAUCAUAUUAAGUGCUUUUGAAAUGUCUUGUUUUGUUCUAAGAAAAAGAGUGGUAUCAUCUGCUAGUUGACUAAUUUUUAAUGUGUGAGUUUUGCCAUCAAGUUUAAUUUCAAAGCCUUUGAGGUCAUGAUCUUGUCUGAUCCUACAUGCUAAAAUUUCAACAGCAAUUACAAAAA